GAUGAACGCUGGCGGCGUGCUUAACACAUGCAAGUCGAACGGUGAAGGAGAGCUUGCUCUCUGGAUCAGUGGCGAACGGGUGAGUAACACGUGAGCAAUCUGCCCCUGACUCUGGGAUAAGCGCUGGAAACGGCGUCUAAUACUGGAUACGAGCUGCGAAGGCAUCUUCAGCAGCUGGAAAGAAUUUCGGUCAGGGAUGAGCUCGCGGCCUAUCAGCUAGUUGGUGAGGUAACGGCUCACCAAGGCGUCGACGGGUAGCCGGCCUGAGAGGGUGACCGGCCACACUGGGACUGAGAAACGGCCCAGACUCCUACGGGAGGCAGCAGUGGGGAAUAUUGCACAAUGGGCGCAAGCCUGAUGCAGCGACGCCGCGUGGGGGACGACGGCCUUCGGGUUGUAAACCUCUUUUAGCAGGGAAGAAGCGAAAGUGACGGUACCUGCAGAAAAAGCGCCGGCUAACUACGUGCCAGCAGCCGCCGUAACAC
rnacentral:rRNA from 1 species